AUCCUUGAUUCACCACAUCAUCACAUGAUAUCUGAUUUGAGGCAUAAAUACUGCUGUCUGUAAGCGUAAGACAGCUGAAGUCUUUCAGGAGAACACAGAAAAUACGCCUCUUAUUGCUACCUGAAAAAUUAUACCCAAAUACUGGCACAAGAACACCCUUCCAAUGGAUUUACCAUCUGACCUGAAAACACUAGCAUCAUUAACCAUCUGCAAGCAAACCUUCUGGAAAAACAAUGCAAUCUGAAGCUUUUGCACUGCCUAUAGGGAGCAUAUGAAUAAAUAAUAGAGUCAUCUGA